rnacentral:rRNA from 1 species
CGCAUGAUAUUUUUAUUAAAGAAUUUCGGUUAUCGAUGGGGAUGCGUUCCAUUAGUUUGUUGGCGGGGUAACGGCCCACCAAGACAACGAUGGAUAGGGGUUCUGAGAGGAAGGUCCCCCACAUUGGAACUGAGACACGGUCCAAACUCCUACGGGAGGCAGCAGUGAGGAAUAUUGGUCAAUGGGCGAGAGCCUGAACCAGCCAAGUAGCGUGAAGGAUGAAGGCUCUAUGGGUCGUAAACUUCUUUUAUAUGGGAAUAAAGUUUUCCACGUGUGGAAUUUUGUAUGUACCAUAUGAAUAAGGAUCGGCUAACUCCGUGCCAGCAGCCGCGGUAAUACGGAGGAUCCGAGCGUUAUCCGGAUUUAUUGGGUUUAAAGGGAGCGUAGGUGGAUUGUUAAGUCAGUUGUGAAAGUUUGCGGCUCAACCGUAAAAUUGCAGUUGAAACUGGCAGUCUUG